rnacentral:rRNA from 1 species
UACGUAGGGUGCAAGCGUUGUCCGGAAUUAUUGGGCGUAAAGGGUGUGUAGGCGGUUCUUUAAGUUUGGUGUGAAAUCUCCCGGCUCAACCGGGAGGGUGCGCCGAAUACUGAGGGACUCGAGUGCGGGAGAGGAAAGUGGAAUUCCUGGUGUAGCGGUGAAAUGCGUAGAUAUCAGGAGGAACACCGGUGGUGUAGACGGCUUUCUGGACCGUAACUGACGCUGAGACACGAAAGCGUGGGGAGCGAACAGG